AGGUGACCUGGCGCAUAUUGCACGUCGUGGGACCUACCAUGACGAACACAUACUUGAGCGCUU
rnacentral:rRNA from 1 species